rnacentral:rRNA from 1 species
UUAAGUUAUUAAGGGCGCACGGUGGAUGCCUUGGCACUAGAAGCCGAUGAAGGACGUUACUAACGACGAUAUGCUUUGGGGAGCUGUAAGUAAGCUUUGAUCCAGAGAUUUCCGAAUGGGGAAACCCAGCAUGAGUUAUGUCAUGUUAUCGAUAUGUGAAUACAUAGCAUAUCAGAAGGCACACCCGGAGAACUGAAACAUCUUAGUACCCGGAGGAAGAGAAAGAAAAUUCGAUUCCCUUAGUAGCGGCGAGCGAAACGGGAAGAGCCCAAACCAACAAGCUUGCUUGUUGGGGUUGUAGGACACUCUAUACGGAGUUACAAAGGACGACAUUAGACGAAUCAUCUGGAAAGAUGAAUCAAAGAAGGUAAUAAUCCUGUAGUCGAAAAUGUUGUCUCUCUUGAGUGGAUCCUGAGUACGACGGAGCACGUGAAAUUCCGUCGGAAUCUGGGAGGACCAUCUCCUAAGGCUAAAUACUCUCUAGUGACCGAUAGUGAACCAGUACCGUGAGGGAAAGGUGAAAAGCACCCCGGAAGGGGAGUGAAAUAGAACCUGAAACCGUGUGCUUACAAGUAGUCAGAGCCCGUUAAUGGGUGAUGGCGUGCCUUUUGUAGAAUGAACCGGCGAGUUACGAUUUGAUGCAAGGUUAAGCAGUAAAUGUGGAGCCGUAGCGAAAGCGAGUCUGAAUAGGGCGUUUAGUAUUUGGUCGUAGACCCGAAACCAGGUGAUCUACCCUUGGUCAGGUUGAAGUUCAGGUAACACUGAAUGGAGGACCGAACCGACUUACGUUGAAAAGUGAGCGGAUGAACUGAGGGUAGCGGAGAAAUUCCAAUCGAACCUGGAGAUAGCUGGUUCUCUCCGAAAUAGCUUUAGGGCUAGCCUCAAGUGAUGAUUAUUGGAGGUAGAGCACUGUUUGGACGAGGGGCCCCUCUCGGGUUACCGAAUUCAGACAAACUCCGAAUGCCAAUUAAUUUAACUUGGGAGUCAGAACAUGGGUGAUAAGGUCCGUGUUCGAAAGGGAAACAGCCCAGACCACCAGCUAAGGUCCCAAAAUAUAUGUUAAGUGGAAAAGGAUGUGGCGUUGCCCAGACAACUAGGAUGUUGGCUUAGAAGCAGCCAUCAUUUAAAGAGUGCGUAAUAGCUCACUAGUCGAGUGACACUGCGCCGAAAAUGUACCGGGGCUAAACAUAUUACCGAAGCUGUGGAUUGUCCUUUGGACAAUGGUAGGAGAGCGUUCUAAGGGCGUUGAAGCAUGAUCGUAAGGACAUGUGGAGCGCUUAGAAGUGAGAAUGCCGGUGUGAGUAGCGAAAGACGGGUGAGAAUCCCGUCCACCGAUUGACUAAGGUUUCCAGAGGAAGGCUCGUCCGCUCUGGGUUAGUCGGGUCCUAAGCUGAGGCCGACAGGCGUAGGCGAUGGAUAACAGGUUGAUAUUCCUGUACCACCUAUAAUCGUUUUAAUCGAUGGGGGGACGCAGUAGGAUAGGCGAAGCGUGCGAUUGGAUUGCACGUCUAAGCAGUAAGGCUGAGUAUUAGGCAAAUCCGGUACUCGUUAAGGCUGAGCUGUGAUGGGGAGAAGACAUUGUGUCUUCGAGUCGUUGAUUUCACACUGCCGAGAAAAGCCUCUAGAUAGAAAAUAGGUGCCCGUACCGCAAACCGACACAGGUAGUCAAGAUGAGAAUUCUAAGGUGAGCGAGCGAACUCUCGUUAAGGAACUCGGCAAAAUGACCCCGUAACUUCGGGAGAAGGGGUGCUCUUUAGGGUUAACGCCCAGAAGAGCCGCAGUGAAUAGGCCCAAGCGACUGUUUAUCAAAAACACAGGUCUCUGCUAAACCGUAAGGUGAUGUAUAGGGGCUGACGCCUGCCCGGUGCUGGAAGGUUAAGAGGAGUGGUUAGCUUCUGCGAAGCUACGAAUCGAAGCCCCAGUAAACGGCGGCCGUAACUAUAACGGUCCUAAGGUAGCGAAAUUCCUUGUCGGGUAAGUUCCGACCCGCACGAAAGGCGUAACGAUUUGGGCACUGUCUCAACGAGAGACUCGGUGAAAUCAUAGUACCUGUGAAGAUGCAGGUUACCCGCGACAGGACGGAAAGACCCCGUGGAGCUUUACUGUAGCCUGAUAUUGAAAUUCGGCACAGCUUGUACAGGAUAGGUAGGAGCCUUUGAAACGUGAGCGCUAGCUUACGUGGAGGCGCUGGUGGGAUACUACCCUAGCUGUGUUGGAUUUCUAACCCGCACCACUUAUCGUGGUGGGAGACAGUGUCAGGCGGGCAGUUUGACUGGGGCGGUCGCCUCCUAAAAGGUAACGGAGGCGCUCAAAGGUUCCCUCAGAAUGGUUGGAAAUCAUUCAUAGAGUGUAAAGGCAUAAGGGAGCUUGACUGCGAGACCUACAAGUCGAGCAGGGUCGAAAGACGGACUUAGUGAUCCGGUGGUUCCGCAUGGAAGGGCCAUCGCUCAACGGAUAAAAGCUACCCCGGGGAUAACAGGCUUAUCUCCCCCAAGAGUUCACAUCGACGGGGAGGUUUGGCACCUCGAUGUCGGCUCAUCGCAUCCUGGGGCUGUAGUCGGUCCCAAGGGUUGGGCUGUUCGCCCAUUAAAGCGGUACGCGAGCUGGGUUCAGAACGUCGUGAGACAGUUCGGUCCCUAUCCGUCGUGGGCGUAGGAAAUUUGAGAGGAGCUGUCCUUAGUACGAGAGGACCGGGAUGGACAUACCUCUGGUGUACCAGUUGUCGUGCCAACGGCAUAGCUGGGUAGCUAUGUGUGGACGGGAUAAGUGCUGAAAGCAUCUAAGCAUGAAGCCCCCCUCAAGAUGAGAUUUCCCAACUUCGGUUAUAAGAUCCCUCAAAGAUGAUGAGGUUAAUAGGUUCGAGGUGGAAGCAUGGUGACAUGUGGAGCUGACGAAUACUAAUCGAUCGAAGACUUAAUCAA